rnacentral:tRNA from 1 species
GCGGGUGUAGUUCAAUGGUAGAACAUCAGCUUCCCAAGCUGAGUAUGAGGGUUCGAUUCCCUUCACCCGCUCCA